UCUCCUCAACGGCGAAUUGGUAACGGUGACUACAGUAGACUGUUUAAGCAACUAAGCAACUCAAGUCCCAUGGCGAUUACAAAUCAUGAGUGGCUGCUGCACUAUUCUUUAUUUGACGGUCUCUAUGUGGAGGGUUUCAGAACUUUCUCUAGGUGUAGACCGGAUUAGUAGCGGUACACGCUUGCAACUAGCAAAAAUUGCAAGAUGCAGGGUUGCGUUUUCUCUUUCCAAUGCAUGGUGGAUGACCGCUAAUGUAUGUGGGAUAUGGAUGUCUUCAUAUUUGUGGUGGGUACAAGUAAUGUUAAAUUGAAAUUUGAGGCCCUCUUUUCAUUACAACCAGUAGCAAAAUUUAGGUUUUGGUGAGAAGAAAGGUGAACCUAAUGGCUAUAGCACUAUUGAGAAGAAUGUUUCAGUCACUGGAGAAAUUGAGGAACAAAUGAAGUUGAUAGAAGAA